GUAGGUCUAUGUUGUUGUUAGGUGAAGUUAUGGGUCCUACAGUAGGUCUAUGUUGUUGUUAGGUGAAGUUAUGGGUCCUACAGUAGGUCUAUGUUGUUGUUAGGUGAAGUUAUGGGUCCUACAGUAGGUCUAUGUUGUUAUGGGUCCUACAGUAGGUCUAUGUUGUUGUUAGUUGAAGUUAUGGGUCCUACAGUAGGUCUAUGUUGUUGUUAGGUGAAGUUAUGGGUCCUACAGUAGGUCUAUGUUGUUGUUAGGUGAAGUUAUGGGUCCUACAGUAGGUCUAUGUUGUUGUUAGGUGAAGUUAUGGGUCCUACAGUAGGUCUAUGUUGUUGUUAGGUGAAGUUAUGGGUCCUACAGUAGGUCUAUGUUGUUGUUAGGUGAAGUUAUGGGUCCUACAGUAGGUCUAUGUUGUUGUUAUGGGUCCUACAGUAGGUCUAUGUUGUUGUUAGUUGAAGUUAUGGGUCCUACAGUAGGUCUAUGUUGUUGUUAGGUGAAGUUAUGGGUCCUACAGUAGGUCUAUGUUGUUGUUAGGUGAAGUUA